rnacentral:lncRNA from 1 species
GCCGUUUCCCCUCAUCUCCAAGCUCUUCUCGGGAGUACUGCUCACACUGGGCUGACGAGGCAUGGCGAAGAAAGAUGAAGGUCCAGCAACGUUAACCUGAAGAGCCAGAUGAAAGCAGGGCUACCUCCGUGGUUUUAAAGCAUGCUAUUACUGUCUAUCUCUCAGUUCAGUUCAGUCAUUCAGUUGUGUCUGACUCUUUGUGACCCCAUGGACUGCAGCACGCCGGCCUCCCUGUCCAUCACCAACUCCCGGAGUUCACUCAGACUCACAUCCAUCGAGUCGGUGAUGCCAUCCAGCCAUCUCAUCCUCCGUCUCUGUCUCUCACUGCCUACCAAAUCCAGAAGUUCCAGGUGGAAGAGCUGGGCUUCUAUUGUUCACCAUUCCCAGGGCCUGGCACUGGGUCUGGAACUCAGGUGGCGUCUUAGACUGGAUGCCCCAGCAGCAGAGUCAGAGCUGAGAGUUCUUGUGCAGGAUUGAAAAAUGUCAAACAUUGUUCCCAGUCUCGCAAGGAAGUACUUUAGAGGUAUGCCG